UAUAAGCCAACACUUAUCGACGAAUAAAGCUUGCCACCGUGGCGCUUGCAGCGGCACACAUCGAGACGAUCAGAAAAACAACCGACGUUUCACCUCGCGUGUCCAUGAAAUGCCCGAUGAUCGGCUCGCCCAACCCGGCGAACAGAUACGCGCAGAAAUUCAUGAUGCCAGUUGCUGUUCCGGCCCGCUUGUGCCCUACCAGAUCGGGG
rnacentral:misc_RNA from 1 species